UACGGCUAAGGUAAUCUAUUCCUGGGACAAGAAAAUCCUUAGUUUUUCGAAAAAUUCAAAGUUUUGUAUCAGGAAAUUUAUAAAAAUGAUCACAUAAUUGAUAUUCAUGUCAACACCGAAGUGCUGACUACUGGGCUGGUGAUACCCUCGGGGACGAAACGUCCACCAGCAGUGGCAUCGAUCCAGUGGUGUAAAUAGUUAUCAAAAGUACCAGGAUUAUAAUUUAGUACGCCAGACGCGCGUUUCGUCUACAUAAGACUCAUCAGUGACGCUCAUAUCAAAAUAGUUAUAAAGCCAAAC
rnacentral:lncRNA from 1 species